UUUCCGGUUGAUCCUGCCGGAGGCCACUGCUAUCGGGGUUCGAUUAAGCCAUGCGAGUCGAGAGGGUUUAGACCCUCGGCGGACUGCUCAGUAACACGUGGAUAACCUGCCCUAAGGUGGAGGAUAACCCCGGGAAACUGGGGAUAAUACUCCAUAGAUUAGAGAUACUGGAAUGUUCUUUAGUCAAAAGUUCCGGCGCCUUAGGAUGGAUCUGCGGUCGAUUAGGUUGUUGUUGGGGUAACGGCCCAACAAGCCUGUAAUCGAUACGGGUUGUGGGAGCAAUAGCCCGGAGAUGGAAUCUGAGACAAGAUUCCAGGCCCUACGGGGCGCAGCAGGCGCGAAAACUUUACAAUGCAGGAAACUGUGAUAAGGGAACCCCGAGUGCCCGUAUACGCGGGCUGUCCAGGUGUUUAAAAGUCAUCUGAAGAAAGGGCCGGGCAAGACCGGUGCCAGCCGCCGCGGUAAUACCGGCGGCUCGAGUGGUGGCCACUAUUAUUGGGCUUAAAGCGUCCGUAGCUGGACUGAUAAGUCUCUUGGGAAAUCCGCCGGCUCAACCGGCGGGCGUCUAAGGGAUACUGUUGGUCUAGGGACCGGGAGAGGUGAGAGGUACUCCGGGGGUAGGAGUGAAAUCCUGUAAUCCCCGGGGGACCACCGAUGGCGAAGGCAUCUCACCAGAACGGCUCCGACAGUGAGGGACGAAAGCUGGGGGAGCAAACCGGAUUAGAUACCCGGGUAGUCCCAGCCGUAAACUAUGCGCGUUAGGUGUGCUGGUGACCAC
rnacentral:rRNA from 1 species